GACGAACGCUGGCGGCGUGCUUAACACAUGCGAGUCGAACGCUGAAGACCUGGCUUUUGUUGGGUUGGAUGAGUGGCGAACGGGUGAGUAACACGUGAGUAACCUGCCCUCUUCUUUGGGAUAACGCCCGGAAACGGGUGCUAAUACUGGAUAUUCACUGAUCUUCGCAUGGGGGUUGGUGGAAAGGUUUGUUCUGGUGGGGGAUGGGCUCGCGGCCUAUCAGCUUGUUGGUGGGGUGAUGGCCUACCAAGGCUUUGACGGGUAGCCGGCCUGAGAGGGUGACCGGUCACAUUGGGACUGAGAUACGGCCCAGACUCCUACGGGAGGCAGCAGUGGGGAAGAUUGCACAAUGGGCGAAAGCCUGAUGCAGCGACGCCGCGUGAGGGAUGGAGGCCUUCGGGUUGUAAACCUCUUUCGCUCAUGGUCAAGCCGCAACUGUGGGUUGUGGUGAGGGUAGUGGGUAAAGAAGCGCCGGCUAACUACGUG
rnacentral:rRNA from 1 species